rnacentral:sRNA from 1 species
GGUGACCAGCGGAGGGAUCAUUACCGAGUUUACAACUCCCAAACCCAUGUGAACAUACCUUUACGUUGCUUCGGCGGAGCCGCCCCGGCGCCCGGAACCUCUUCGGUUUCGCGGCCCGGAACCAGGCGCCCGCCGGAGGCCACAAACUCUUUUGUUUUUACAGUUUCUUCUGAGUGUGCCGCAAGGCAAAAUACAAAUGAAUCAAAACUUUCAACAACGGAUCUCUUGGUUCUGGCAUCGAUGAAGAACGCAGCGAAAUGCGAUAAGUAAUGUGAAUUGCAGAAUUCAGUGAAUCAUCGAAUCUUUGAACGCACAUUGCGCCCGCCAGAAUUCUGGCGGGCAUGCCUGUUCGAGCGUCAUUUCAACCCUCGAGCUCCCCUCUUUUGGGAGAGCCCGGCGUUGGGGACCCGGCGCUAACACCGCCGGCCCCGAAAUGGAGUGGCGGCCCGUCCGCGGCGACCUCUGCGUAGUAAUAUCCACUCGCACCGGGACCCGGGCGCGGCCACGCCGUUAAACACCCCACCUUCCGAAUGUUGACCUCGAAUCAGGUAGGAAUACCCGCUGAACUUAAGCAUAUCAAUAAGCGGAGGAAAAGAAACCAACAGGGAUUGCCCCAGUAACGGCGAGUGAAGCGGCAACAGCUCAAAUUUGAAAUCUGGUCCCCAGGGCCCGAGUUGUAAUUUGUAGAGGAUGCUUUUGGCGAGGCGCCUUCCGAGUUCCCUGGAACGGGACGCCACAG